rnacentral:misc_RNA from 1 species
AUUGAUACUUAUAAGAACAAUGCAUUCGACAAGAAAAUCCAUCAACAAUAAUUUUUUCACACCCCAUUAAAAGUUCAACUUGAGUUCAAUCGUUUCACAUAUGCUCACUAUAUUUCUUCAAUUAAAGCAACAAAAAUAGAACCAAUAUCCCCAAAUUUGAAACUAUACAUGCGAAGAUACAUCCUUAAAUUUACAACUAUAAGCCCAUGAAUUGCAUGCAUGAACAUAACGUCUCCACAUAACAACAGACAUGUACGGGUAAAAUAAUUCAUAAAAUAGCUGAAUAAGAAGCAUACCUCCUGCAGCAACGACCCGUCCAUGGCAUUAAAGACCCUAAUCAAAGUGCCCUUACUACUCGCAGUAGCCAAUAAUCUGCCAUCUUGAGUCAUAGUCAUACCCGCGAUCCUCGAAUCAUGUGCCAUAACGAACUUGGUUCUCUUCGACCCACAAUUCUCCACUCUAAUUUGCCCCUUUUGGAGGCCAGGGCAAACCAGCACCAUUGGCGAUGAAGUAUGGGAUAUUUCACACAACCCUUUUGGAUUCAAAACCGUCUCCAUUUGGUGCAGCAGCUCCAAGUCCGCAAAAUUGUACACAAAAAUUUUCUGAAGCAAUACAACAAUUAUCCUGUCCCGCCUCAGUUUCACGUUUUUUACCUCCGAUCGGAACGACAGCUCGCCGAUGCAUCGCGACUGAAAGUCGUCCCAAAUGAUUACCUUGGUCAUUGCAUAGAUGGGACCAGUACCACCACCGACCAAGCAUAGGAUAUUGCAGCGGAAUAGCAUGGCCACAAGGAAGAUUCCGUCCUGCGAGUCAAGGUCACGGCGGAAGAGGGGCUUGAAGGGAUCGGUAUUGUAUAUACGGAAACCAUUAUCGAGGCCAGCAGCGAAGCAACCAUAAUCUUGGUUGAAGGAGAGAUGGUAGAUGGCUGGUGAUUGUUUGGGUUCUUGUGUGGGAUUAUGAGGGAGAAAUAGAGGGGCAAUAGAUGAGGAGGAGGAGGAGGAGGAGAAGAGGACAAUGUAGGGCCUGACGCACUUGAAGGAGGCAACAAUAGUAAGAGAUGAAUGUAGAAGGGUUUGUGAUUGGGAGCUCAACAACCAUAAAUUCUGGGAAGUAGCAGUGAGUGUGAGGACAAUGAAUGACUAGAGAGAGAAACAAAUUAGCUUUGAAAAUUGAGACAAUAGUGCUCUUUCCAGCCUUUGCUUGGCCCUCUCUGUCUCUUCACUGUACCGGAGAUUAUCAAAAAUUAAUUCGUUCUUUCCCCCUCGGUUCCUCCCCUGUAC